rnacentral:lncRNA from 10 species
AUGGAAACUCAUCCAGGGUUGGCUGAUGAGAAGCGGGUUAACAAGGGGGUCUGCCUUCAGUUAGGACAAGGUCUGUGCUUCCCACGGGUUCUCUCCACAGCAGGAGGGAUGCAAACUUCCCUUUCCUCCCCUGCACCUACCCUCAAAUGGCCCAGAGUUCUUCAGGUGCUAGAAUUUCUCAAUUAAUGCUGCACAAAAUAUCAGACAGCCUUGACUGUCACAGUCUGUUCUAAUGAUGCUAGUCUCUGCUCACUACAUAAAACAGGAGAGUAAGAACAAGGGUGUUUAACGCUACCCUAGCUCAAACAAGUUUCUCUCUGUAGGAUGCCAAGAACCUGGGAACCAGUGCAUCUGCUGCUUUUCGUUCUCGGAUUCUAGCACAGACAAAAGAGGCAAGGGGCAUUUCUUCAGAGGCCUUGAGCUUCACUACACAAUGCCCCAGGCUCUACAUGCACCCUCUUUAUAUAUUUCUACCUUGAAAAAAAAUUUUUAUAUAAUAUUAAUAAUAUAUAUUUUUAUAUAAGAA